rnacentral:rRNA from 1 species
CCGCGGUAAUACGAAGGGUGCAAGCGUUACUCGGAAUUACUGGGCGUAAAGCGUGCGUAGGCGGUUUGUUAAGUCUGCUGUGAAAGCCCUGGGCUCAACCUGGGAACUGCAGUGGAUACUGGCGAGCUAGAGUGUGUCAGAGGAUGGUGGAAUUCCCGGUGUAGCGGUGAAAUGCGUAGAGAUCGGGAGGAACACCAGUGGCGAAGGCGGCCAUCUGGGACAACACUGACGCUGAGGCACGAAAGCGUGG